GGUGUGACUGAAGAAAUAUCAAAUGUUUCCUAGUAAGACAGCAACUCAGGACUCUAGGAUGGAAGAAGGUGUCUGACCGUAAAUUACACCUGCAGUGCAACCAGCAGACUAAUGGGGAUGAGGUUCUGGUACAAGAUGAUGAACACCAGUAUGUCAGACAAUGACUUGGGAGCUGGAAUCAAGGACAUGACCAAGAGCAGCAAGAACAAAAGGGAGACUGACACAUUGAUCACUUUCUCAACCUUUGAUCUCUUGAGAGGAUGGUUCACAUUUGAGUAAAGACAGGGGAGUUUGUUUUCAGAAUGACAUACUAGUCUGCAGGAUGAAUUUCAUAACUGACAUUGCACCUUGGACUGCAACUAGGACUUUCACUGGAAUCAGAGAAAGAGUUUUGAAGAAAACUGGGCAUAGGCUCAGCAAAACCAAACAGAAGAGGAACAGAAAAAGAAACAAAAAGCAGAACAGUCAGAAUAGAAUCAUGGAGGAAAACUCAUUAGAAUUCUUAAGUGAUCUUACACCGGGAGAUCAGGACCCAUCUCAGAGUGAAGAGGAAGACAUUGAAAAGACCAGAAGAGAAUCAGAAUAUCCCUUCAUUGAUGGUCUACAAAAUGAAGUCGGAGAUUUUGUGACUGGAUAUAAAGAAAAAAGAUGGAAAAAUAAAGAUCCUAAAGACAGUUUCCAAAACGUUAUGUCUAUAGUUGAAUUAGACAACACACCAAAGAAUUACCUCUCUAAGGAAGGUGAUAACUUGUUUGUAAGUUUGUUACUGAGGCCAAAUGAAAUCUCCGUUACUUGUCCAAUACUGACUCAAAACCUUUCCUGUGUAACAACUGAUGACUGCUCUGGCAUGAAGGUAGAAAAGCAUAUUAGAAAUAGGCAUACCAUAGCAUUAGACACCCAGGACCUUUCUGCGGAAACUUCAUGCUUAUUUAUGAAGAAGAGAGAAAUAGUAGAUAAAAAUCUCUCACAUGAACCCAUUCUGUGCCAUCAACAUGGAAUCAGAAUGUCAGAUAAAGUUUUAAGAGAGGAACAAGUGUAUACAACUAAAAUCAAUCACUGGGCUUUUUUCACAACCAAUUUAUCUGAUGAAGAUUUACAGCUGGGCUCUGACAGACAGCCCUAUUUUGGUAGCUGGCCUGCAGGACCUCAUAAGUUUAUAUGUGAACAGAGACCAAAGAAAGAUAGAGCAUGUAAGUUGGCUGGUCCUGACAGCAGGGGGCAAUGGAUUCAAAUGAUCUUCACUUCGGUGGCAGCAUCAGAACCAGGAAACAAUCCAGAAAUAUUGACAGACAAACUACUGAUAGGAAAUGAAGAUUUUUCACCUCCACCUGAAACUAUGGAUUCAUUCAUAGAAACAAACCUCUUCAGAAGCUGCUUACCUCAACCGGAUAUACCAAAGAAUGCCUUAGAAUCAACAAAAAAUAAGAAAAGGAGGAAGAAAAGGAUUUUCAAUUUGGUACCAAAUUUUGACUUAUUAGGACAGAGUCGUAUCGGUGUAAAAGAAAGGGAGAAAUGUGACCUGUUAACAAAAAACCAUGGACUAAAAAUUACUUUGGGAGAAGAAAAAGAUAGAAUUUCAGAAAGGAACAGUGAAGAGGAGAAUAAACAAAAACUUAUGACCUUUGAUCAUCAUCCAUUGUGGUUUUACCUUGAUAUUAUCAAAGCUACCCCUUUAAAUAUUGAUGGACAGCGUUAUUCUCAUUGCCUGUCAUUUAACAGACUAAGGUGCUCUGCAUCUUUAUACAAAAAUUAUAUUCCUUCUUUUGUGCUACAUAAUUUAUCUAGUAUUUGGAAGCCAUCUUUUACAAACAAGAAACUGUUUUUGACUUUCGAAUCUCAGACAAGAGUAGGUAAUAAACUAAAUGAUGCAGGGUUUAUUUCUCCAGAAAUUUUACAUAGUCAUCCUGAUACUUCGUGCUCUUUGGGAGUCACUUCUGAUUUUCACUUUUUAAAUGAAAGGUUUGAUAGAAAGCUGAAAAGAUGGGAAGAACCUAAGGAAUUACCAGCUGAGGACAGCCAAGACUUAACAAGCACUGACUACCGUUCCCUUGAGCUACCAUUAUCACAAGGGUUUGCCUUUCAAUUAGUAAAGCUUUUUGGAUCUCCAGGCGUUCCAAUGGAAUCCUUGUUGCCUGAUGACUAUGUGGUUCCCCUUGACUGGAAGACACUAAAGAUGAUCUACUUGCAAUGGAAGAUGUCAGUGGAGAAAAGACAGAAGAAGAUUGGUUGAAAAAUGAAAAUUCCUUGAACUUUGAGUUCUGCUGUCUUCAUGGUACUGCUGAAGAUCAUGAUCACGGAGAAAAGUCAGAGUGCUCAGUGCCAACCCAAGGGAUUCUUUCCAGAGACGUACCCGUUGGAUACCAAAAUUAGUUUGGAUAAUCUGUUCAACCAUUCUUGAUAAGUUAUCUGAAUAAUAAAAAAACUCAACAGAGGAGGUAACAAUUUGAACAUUUUAUUGUCUAAUUUGAAGAUGUAUGCCAUACUUUGUUUGAUAGAAGAAAGUAAGGCACAGAAAACUUGAGUACCUUAUUUUUAAAACUGCAUUAGGAUUAAAAGGUUAGCCCCUAUAUCCAAGUAUUGGUCUGAGAUCCCAUUUCUAGAAUUCUGAAAUCCAAAAAGCUCUGAAAAUCAAUAGUUAUUUUUCCAAAUGUAUUCAUUGUGGUAAAAUACACCAAUAUAAAAUUUACCAUCUUAACCACUUUUAAGUGUGUUAUAAAUACAUUCAUGCUACCAUCACUAGCAUCCAUCUCUGGAACUCUUUUCAUCUUGCAAAACUGCAAUUCUAUACCCAUUAAACAAUGACCCAU
rnacentral:lncRNA from 1 species